ensembl:lncRNA
UCUGUUUCCUGUCUCACUGCUCGUCUUUGAGCUUCAGAUUAUACCAUUUCCUCUCACACCUGUGACUGUGUCACGUCCUGAUCCUUCCACCCCUGCCCGUAUUUAUCUAUUCUUUUUAUUUCUCUCUCCCGCUCUCUCUCCCUCAAUGUAGGGGAUUUUGUUUUGGAAAAAUAUUUAGGCUGUGUCCUCAGUCUUUCUCAGCCUGGGGUCUAGCUUACCUGUGUCAACAUGGUGACGGCGCCAGGUGUACUGACGACCCUUGUGUUAACAGGAUUGUGUGUCCACGUCACAGUGAUUCGUGGCAGGACGUGGAGAGUUGUGUGCGGUUCUCCUCCCAGCUGUGUGACCUGUCCGAGGCCUUCUCUAACUUCGAGGUGUACAACAUGAUCCGCCUGGGCCUCCACCAGGGCCCGGGGAGUCCAGCCUGGACAGAAAAUCUGGGGUUUGGCGUCCGUGAUUUCAACUUCAGCAGCCCCUCUGUCUUGGUCUCUCUGUCUGGAGAGAUGCUGGGAGUGGAGGUGCACUUACCUUGUUCUAGCAAAAGGGAGUGUCUUCCUCUGCAGAGUUGCUGUCCACUGUCAAAAUUUAUUGACCUCUGGGUCACCGUGACAGUAUAUGACCGGCAGAACCCCUCCGACUACAAGACGCAGAUUGGUUUGGUCCAGACGAUGGUGUAUGGGGCAGAGUUCUCAAACCUGGUCCCAGGACAUGACUACUGUGUCGUGGCUAACUUCUCCAUCAGUCCGGCCACCUUCCCCCAGGCCUCGUCUCCUCCCUCGGACCCCAGUUGUGUCCACCAUGCUGGCCCAGGACUAGGCAUCUCUUCAGGCAUUCCUCCAGGACCUACCGGAGUCCCCUUCAGACCCUGUUGACCCCAGUGACAUUGUAGACGACCACCUCUCCAUCCUGUCCUCUUUCUCCAGCUGUGUCUACACCGAGGCCCAGGCCCCAAGCCUGGGUAAUGGGUACAACAGCAACCCCUUCCUCCGUGACUAUAGGUCAGGCAACAUGCACUGGAACACUGAGAGAAUGGAGCUGGACCUGAACUCAGGCAGCACCAUAUCCCUGCCAUGCUCCACUGUGCCUAUAGGCCUGCAUAUGAUCCAGUGCAGCUUUGAUUCACCUCGACAACCACAUCCAGGGCCCAAUGUGCCAGUUCUACCGUACCCUGGUUCUCUAUCUCUGUCAGAGGCCGUGGAGGGCCAGGUGGUCCCGUUGUGUUCUGUGAGGUUUGGGAGGGUGAGUGAUGGGUGUGAGAACCUUGAGGGACUACAGUGGUGUAACCUGUAGCAUGUUGCACUGCAGUACUCACAAUGCCAUGUUUAACAUAUUCCUAUGAACUCCACAGUGCUGAGAGGAGUUCAAAAACUUUAUUGACCAUUUUUGUUGAAAAUUGUAAUUUUUUUCCCUCAGCUUACAGACAUACAUUUUCAGUUCCAACAGGACUGUGGUAUGGUCCAGCACCUUACCAAGGUCAACCAUAACAGGGACAAUACUGGACAGUGCAAUCAUAAACACAUACACUCUUAGAAAAAAGGGUUUCAAAAGGGUUCUUCGGCUGUCCCCAUAGGAGAACCCUUUUCGGAACCAAAACUAUUCUUCCUGGAACCAAAAAGGGUUCUUCAAUGGGUUAUCCUAUGGGGACAGCCGACAAGGUUCUAGAUGGCACCUUUUUUUUUCUAAGGGGGGUUUAUUAUUCUGACUCCCCUUUAAAUUUACUUUGUCUACUGUGCCAAGUGUCUUUUCAGCUCUUUUUCUGUGUCAUAAUAGGUUGUUCUUCCCCCUCUCUCUGCCUUGCUUCUGACUCACUGUUGCCCCAUCCCAUCUCCGGCCUGACCCCCACUGUCUCUUACCCGUGUCUGACAUCUCAUUCUGGGGGAGGAGGGCAGAGGGUAGGGGAACAUCUCUCUCCUGCCUCUUGUUUCACUGGUGGUGCACUUUCCCCGGAACAUUAGAACAUUCGGGGGUAGAGACAGAGGAGACGUUGGAUGGGAAACAGUGAUUGGCCCUAUUGUUCUGGAAACCACAUAGCCUGUGUAUGGCUCAUAAUAAUAUCACUGUCUGGAGGAUUUUGAUUCAUGUAUUCAUGUUGUUGGUCUAAUAUUGGGGUUGGAUCAUGAGUCCAAACUAAGCAGUGUGUUUGCUUGCCAAUCAUAAAUGCUAAUUCUCAGGCAUCCAACAGGUAUCGCAUCUAACCUUGCACUUGGGUUUUUGGAGCAACUUUUAUGGGUUCUGCUGUAUUUGCAGUCAAUUCACCGGAAACCUGAUCCAAAAUGGUCGCUUUGUGGCUCACUCUUCACUGGUGUGUGCUGGCUAGCUCUGCAGCUGAGGUGGUGAAGUUGGAUUGGGGAUUUACGUGGUGUUUGACAGGCAGUAAAAAAUGUUGGGGGGGGCUUGCCUGUUAUGCAUGUUAUUUUGGCAUUAAAUGUCACAUCAGUUUGCAAACAAUGCAAUAAAAAUAAAUCAAUGAGUUAAUAAAGCCG